AAGAGUCUAACCUGCCCAGUGAUUUAUUUUUAACGGCCGCGGUACUCUGACCGUGCAAAGGUAGCAUAAUCAUUUGCCUUAUAAUUGAAGGCUAGUAUGAAAGGUUUAACGAGAGUUUAGCUGUCUCCUUAUUAAUUAAAAUGAAAUUGACUUUCAAGUGCAAAGGCUUGAAUAACACUAAAAGACAAGAAGACCCUAUUGAGCUUUAGAAAUUUAAUGAUUUUUUUAUCCUAAAUUUUAUUGAUACUAAUUCAUUAGUAUUUUUGGUUGGGGCGACUCUGGAACAAUUAAAGCUUCUAGAAAUAAUAAUAUUUAAAUUUUUUUUGAAAGCAGAUCCAGAAUUUUCUGAUUGAUAGAAUAAGUUACCAUAGGGAUAACAGCAUAAUCUUUUUUGAGAGCUCUAAUCGAAAAAAAUGUUUGUGACCUCGAUGUUGGAUUAGAAUAUCCUAAGGGUGCAGAAGCUCUUCUGGGUUGGUCUGUUCG
rnacentral:rRNA from 1 species